rnacentral:rRNA from 1 species
GAUGAACGCUGGCGGCGUGCCUAAUACAUGCAAGUCGAGCGAACGGACGAGAAGCUUGCUUCUCUGAUGUUAGCGGCGGACGGGUGAGUAACACGUGGAUAACCUACCUAUAAGACUGGGAUAACUUCGGGAAACCGGAGCUAAUACCGGAUAAUAUUUUGAACCGCAUGGUUCAAAAGUGAAAGACGGUCUUGCUGUCACUUAUAGAUGGAUCCGCGCUGCAUUAGCUAGUUGGUAAGGUAACGGCUUACCAAGGCAACGAUGCAUAGCCGACCUGAGAGGGUGAUCGGCCACACUGGAACUGAGACACGGUCCAGACUCCUACGGGAGGCAGCAGUAGGGGAUCUUCCGCAAUGGGCGAAAGCCUGACGGAGCAACGCCGCGUGAGUGAUGAAGGUCUUCGGAUCGUAAAACUCUGUUAUUAGGGAAGAACAUAUGUGUAAGUAACUGUGCACAUCUUGACGGUACCUAAUCAGAAAGCCACGGCUAACUACGUG